UGGUAAGAGCACUUGGCACGUACUAAAUGUAUGCAAGUGUCAGCUAUCCUCCUCAGCUUCAUCUUUCCCAGCAGCAGCGGCAUCUGUGAGAGGCCUUGUGGUCUAAGGGGAAGACCAUGGCCUGGAAAGACAAUGGGCUGGGAGUCUGACGGUGCUGAGUAGAGUGAAUGGUUCUUAUUGUUGUAACGACACGCAGCUGCUUUAUUGGUCAUUCAAGAGGAAACUUGUCCCCGUGGCGAGGGAUUUGGACUGAAGCCUGCAGCUGCUUAGCACAGAUGCUGACGAGGCCUCACCUAGGCUUUCCUGCCCACCUGCAGCCGUCAGCUUCCCUCUAACUCUGCAGAUUGACUGCACGCCUUUUUCUCCACUGCCCCUCCAAACCCACUAAGAUAGCCAUAAGGGAAUAAAGUAAGAGGAAGCAACUGGGAGAGCAAAUGCAAAAAAUGUCAACAAAAUUUUGAAAGAUGUAAGGUGUUUGAACAAAGGGCAUCUAAUUUAGUUUUAGCUUUAGCCAUUCUGCUAAGCGUCUACACCUGAAGAAGCCAACAAAACGUAAAUUGAAUCCACCAUGGGUCCUCAAAAGGCAGAGGAUCUGGAAGCACCAGACAUCUCUGAAUCCAGGGGUCAGGAUGGGGCUGAGAAGAAGAGGAUUCACUCGUAAGUCUGUAUAAGAAGGAUCUAGACCCCCAGAUUUUCUCCCUUGCCCCACACAGCCAGGCGCCAUAGCUCCUCUACCAUCCAGCAGAUGACACAUUUGCUAUCUAAAGAGGGUGAACCAGAGAGAUUCUGACCCAGGGGACAUGAAGCAUGGCAGAAGGCAGAAGACAAAGACAUCCUGAAAAGAGUAAGGCUCCCAGAAGUCACAUAUGACAGGCCCCCGCUCCCCACCCGACCCGCUGAGACAAUGCCCCACCACACUGCCUUCUCUGCAGGGCGACCGCAAUGCAGACUCGAGGCAACCGUCAUUCCAAGGACUGCCAUGUGAGUGGUGCUUCCUGAAGCUGUGCACUGAGGUGGCCCUGGAGGAACCGGCUAGCUCCUGCCCACCCUCUUCCCAUCUCAGCCCUUGCAGCUCUGUUUCUAGCAGGAGGAAGAGGAGUGAAAUCAUUCAUGCCAGCUGUGAUUCCGACUUACAUCUCACUGAGCAGGACUGUGUCAUGUGACUGCAUCUGCCAACAAGCGGGGAAACUCUAGGUAGGCACGUUGCCAUCCUAUGUAUAGAUAUUCUACUAGGAAUAAACAAGGAAAGUUGUAUUAGGUAGGCCAUUAGCAAUCUCAACUACAGAAAUAAACAUUUUCUCUAGAACUAAAAGACGUGACUUCCCAUAUUUAAAGGGCCCACUGAGCACCCGGAAUAAAAGAAACCCACAACAAGCCAUAACAUGGUAAAAUUUAAGACACCAGAGAUUAAAAAAUUCCCAAAAGCUUUCAGAGAGAACAAGCAGGUAGCACAUAGCGACCAGGAUAAGAAGCAUUGGUCUCCAUAGUAACACUGGGAGUGGGCCCUUUAAGUGGCUUGGUCAAAAUGUUUGAUGACCUUUCCCACCCGAUGGAGCUGUGGUUCUACGACUGACCAGGCGAAAACCUGAAGGCACAAACCUGCUGAAGAAGUAUCAGAAAUAAAUAUGUUUAUUUUAUUUUAAGAGGUUAUUUUAAGUAGUUAUUCCCAAAGACAACAAUUGACACGUGCAGCUGUCAUUUACGUCUCACUCUGUGAAGCAUGACUUUUUGUUUAUAUCAAAUAACUGUUCUCCUAAGUUAAUUUUGCCCUUUUUACUUUCAAAUUUUCUUGCAGACGUCAGAAGUGAGGUGAUCACUGUUUGUGUUGGCCCUGUUGGCAGCAGCAGAACUUUGCAAAUGGUUAAUGAUGGUGGUUGGAUAUGAUGUCAUCAGACGUUUCCAAAAGAAAAGCAGUUCGGCCCUGUAAUGGCUCUUUUUUGUUGUUGUUUCACACAAUUCAUGGAAUCCAUGUAAAGUUUUUGGAGGUUCAUUUUACUAAAGGUGAAAUGUCUGAUGUUAUUGCUAAUUCUACUGUAAAUUCAGUUCAAAAGGUCACCAUUAAAAAUAAAAUGAUUUGUUUUUGCAGGAAAAAUGUAAAUACGAUUUUUGGAGGAGCACUUCACCAUGCAAAAAAUAAUACCCUUACCCUUAAUAUUGUUAAGAAGCCAAAUGGUCUUGGCAAUGACUUCUUGGAUAUGACACCAAAAGCACAGGCAACAGAAGCAAAAACAGACAAGUGGGACCACAGUAAAUUAAAAGGUUCUGCACAGCAAAGAAAACAACCCAUAGAGAGAAAAGGCAACCUACAGAAUGGGGUAAAAUAUUUGUAAACCAAAUAUCUGAUAAGGGAUUAAUAUCCAAAGUUAUAAGGAACUGUUACAACUCAAAAGUAAAAAAGCAAGUAACCCAAUUAAAAAAUGGGCAAAGGACUUGAAUAGACAUUUCUCCAAAGAAGACGUACAAAUGGCCAACAGGUCUAUAAAAAGAUGCUCAACAUUGCUAAUCAUCAGGGAAAUGCAAAUCAAAACCACAAUGAGAUAUCACCUCACACCUGUUGGAAUGGCCAUUAUAAAACAAACGAACAGAAACUAACCGGCGUUGCAAGAAUAUAGAGGAAGUGGAAGCCUUAUGCACCAUUAGUGGAAAUGUAAGAUGGUGCAGACACUAUGGAAACAGCAUGGAGGGUCUUCAAAAAGUU
ensembl:lncRNA